rnacentral:lncRNA from 1 species
GUUUCAGAAAAUAAAGAGUGAAGUUUGCCUGCAAGUAAAGAAUUGAGAGUGUGUGCAAAGCUUAUUUUCUUUUAUCUGGGCAAAAAUUAAAACACAUUCCUUGGAACAGAGCUGUUGCCGCCUGUUCUGCGGAGAAACUUUUCUUUUUGAGGGCUGUGGUGAAUGGAUGAACGUGCAUAGUAAAAGUGCAAACAAGCGAAAUGAAUGGAAAAGUCAAAUGGUUUGCCUCAUUUUCCAGGAGCCACAACUCAAGCUGAACUGUGAAAGUGGUUUAACACUGUAUCCUAGUGAUCUUUUUUUUUUUCCUCCU